AUUGUACUCCCUCCAUCCAAAAAAGCUUGUCCCUCAAAUGGAUGUAUCUAGCACUAACUUGGUGCUAGAUACAUCCAUUUGAGGAACAAGCUUUUUCAGACGGAGGGAGUAGCAA
rnacentral:pre_miRNA from 1 species